GGGUUGUGAGGUUAAGCGACUAAGCGUACACGGUGGAUGCCCUGGCAGUCAGAGGCGAUGAAGGACGUGCUAAUCUGCGAUAAGCGUCGGUAAGGUGAUAUGAACCGUUAUAACCGGCGAUUUCCGAAUGGGGAAACCCAGUGUGUUUCGACACACUAUCAUUAACUGAAUCCAUAGGUUAAUGAGGCGAACCGGGGGAACUGAAACAUCUAAGUACCCCGAGGAAAAGAAA
rnacentral:rRNA from 2 species